GGAUGCGAUCAUACCAGCACUAAAGAACCGGAUCCCAUCAGAACUCCGAAGCUAAGCGUGCUUGGGCGAGAGUGGUACUUGGAUGGGGAAGUCCUCGUGUUGCAUUCC
rnacentral:rRNA from 2 species